GGAAUUUAGCUCAGUGGUAGAGCACUUGCCUACCAAGCACAAGGCCCUGGGUUCGGUCCCCAGCUCCG
rnacentral:tRNA from 1 species